rnacentral:rRNA from 1 species
AGACCCGAAACCCGGUGAUCUAGCCAUGGGCAGGUUGAAGGUUGGGUAACACUAACUGGAGGACCGAACCGACUAAUGUUGAAAAAUUAGCGGAUGACCUGUGGCUGGGGGUGAAAGGCCAAUCAAACCGGGAGAUAGCUGGUUCUCCCCGAAAGCUAUUUAGGUAGCGCCUCGUGAAUUCAUCUCCGGGGGUAGAGCACUGUUUCGGCUAGGGGGCCAUCCCGGCUUACCAACCCGAUGCAAACUGCGAAUACCGGAGAAUGUUAUCACGGGAGACACACGGCGGGUGCUAACGUCCGUCGUGAAGAGGGAAACAACCCAGACCGCCAGCUAAGGUCCCAAAGUCAUGGUUAAGUGGGAAACGAUGUGGGAAGGCCCAGACAGCCAGGAUGUUGGCUUAGAAGCAGCCAUCAUUUAAAGAAAGCGUAAUAGCUCACUGGUCGAGUCGGCCUGCGCGGAAGAUGUAACGGGGCUAAACCAUGCACCGAAGCUGCGGCAGCGACGCUUAUGCGUUGUUGGGUAGGGGAGCGUUCUGUAAGCCUGUGAAGGUGGCCUGUGAGGGUUGCUGGAGGUAUCAGAAGUGCGAAUGCUGACAUAAGUAACGAUAAAGCGGGUGAAAAGCCCGCUCGCCGGAAGACCAAGGGUUCCUGUCCAACGUUAAUCGGGGCAGGGUGAGUCGACCCCUAAGGCGAGGCCGAAAGGCGUAGUCGAUGGGAAACGGGUUAAUAUUCCCGUACUUGGUGUUACUGCGAAGGGGGGACGGAGAAGGCUAUGUUGGCCGGGCGACGGUUGUCCCGGUUUAAGCGUGUAGGCUGGUUUUCCAGGCAAAUCCGGAAAAUCAAGGCUGAGGCGUGACGACGAGGCACUACGGUGCUGAAGCAACAAAUGCCCUGCUUCCAGGAAAAGCCUCUAAGCAUCAGGUAACAUCAAAUCGUACCCCAAACCGACACAGGUGGUCAGGUAGAGAAUACCAAGGCGCUUGAGAGAACUCGGGUGAAGGAACUAGGCAAAAUGGUGCCGUAACUUCGGGAGAAGGCACGCUGACACGUAGGUGAAGUGAUUUACUCAUGGAGCUGAAGUCAGUCGAAGAUACCAGCUGGCUGCAACUGUUUAUUAAAAACACAGCACUGUGCAAACACGAAAGUGGACGUAUACGGUGUGACGCCUGCCCGGUGCCGGAAGGUUAAUUGAUGGGGUCAGCGCAAGCGAAGCUCCUGAUCGAAGCCCCGGUAAACGGCGGCCGUAACUAUAACGGUCCUAAGGUAGCGAAAUUCCUUGUCGGGUAAGUUCCGACCUGCACGAAUGGCGUAAUGAUGGCCAGGCUGUCUCCACCCGAGACUCAGUGAAAUUGAACUCGCUGUGAAGAUGCAGUGUACCCGCGGCAAGACGGAAAGACCCCGUGAACCUUUACUAUAGCUUGACACUGAACAUUGAGCCUUGAUGUGUAGGAUAGGUGGGAGGCUUUGAAGUGUGGACGCCAGUCUGCAUGGAGCCGACCUUGAAAUACCACCCUUUAAUGUUUGAUGUUCUAACGUGGACCCGUUA